UCCGGCAUGGUCUAGUGGCUGGGGAUACCUGGCUCUCACCCAGGAGGCCCGGGUUCAAUUCCCGGUGUCGGAA